rnacentral:rRNA from 1 species
AUUGAACGCUGGCGGCAUGCCUUACACAUGCAAGUCGAACGGUAACGGGCCUUCGGGUGCCGACGAGUGGCGAACGGGUGAGUAAUAUAUCGGAACGUACCUUUCAGUGGGGGAUAACGUAGCGAAAGUUACGCUAAUACCGCAUAUUCUGUGAGCAGGAAAGCAGGGGACCUUCGGGCCUUGCGCUGAUUGAGCGGCCGAUAUCAGAUUAGCUAGUUGGUGAGGUAAAGGCUCACCAAGGCGACGAUCUGUAGCGGGUCUGAGAGGAUGAUCCGCCACACUGGAACUGAGACACGGUCCAGACUCCUACGGGAGUCAGCAGUGGGGAAUUUUGGACAAUGGGGGCAACCCUGAUCCAGCCAUGCCGCGUGAGUGAAGAAGGCCUUCGGGUUGUAAAGCUCUUUCGGCCGGGAAGAAAUCGUAUGGGCUAAUACCCUGUGCGGAUGACGGUACCGGCAUAAGAAGCACCGGCUAACUACGUGCCAGCCGCCGCAGUAAAAC